rnacentral:rRNA from 1 species
AAAUUGAAGAGUUUGAUCAUGGCUCAGAUUGAACGCUGGCGGCAGGCCUAACACAUGCAAGUCGAACGGUAGCACAGAGAGCUUGCUCUCGGGUGACGAGUGGCGGACGGGUGAGUAAUGUCUGGGAAACUGCCCGAUGGAGGGGGAUAACUACUGGAAACGGUAGCUAAUACCGCAUAACGUCGCAAGACCAAAGAGGGGGACCUUCGGGCCUCUUGCCAUCGGAUGUGCCCAGAUGGGAUUAGCUUGUAGGUGAGGUAACGGCUCACCUAGGCGACGAUCCCUAGCUGGUCUGAGAGGAUGACCAGCCACACUGGAACUGAGACACGGUCCAGACUCCUACGGGAGGCAGCAGUGGGGAAUAUUGCACAAUGGGCGCAAGCCUGAUGCAGCCAUGCCGCGUGUAUGAAGAAGGCCUUCGGGUUGUAAAGUACUUUCAGCGGGGAGGAAGGGAGUGAGGUUAAUAACCU